ensembl:lncRNA MUC20-OT1 MUC20 overlapping transcript
AACCUUUGCUGUCUUGGGACGGAUCACCGCUGCAAGAGGGGAAGUUGCUACUGUGAUGAAUUCUGCCAUGUGGCACCAGACUGCCACCCAGACCACAGUGUCCUCUGCAACCCUGGUAACUCACAUACAGGCCCGAUUCCACCUACAGCAAAGCUGGAUGCGAUGGCUGGCAGAGGCAAACCCUUUGCCUGCACUUCAGGCCAAAGCCGGGAUGUGGCCUAGAUGGUUCCUAAGGUCCCUGACAAUCCUGAGAUCUUGCAUCUUGUCUAUUUCAGGUCAAAGCUUCUCAGAUGACCAAGAUGGUGCUGCAGAUGGUGCUGAGGAUGGAGAACCCACCAAGCCCCGCUAGGAGCCACCUAGACUGGAUGCAGAGCAUGGCCCCAGCACCCGCAGAGCAGACACUGCGAUGACAACGGACGACACAGAAGUGCCCGCUAUGACUCUAGCACCGGGCCACGCCGCUCUGGAAACUCAAACGCUGAGCGCUGAGACCUCUUCUAGGGCCUCAACCCCAGCCGGCCCCAUUCCAGAAGCAGAGACCAGGGGAGCCAAGAGAAUUUCCCCUGCAAGAGAGACCAGGAGUUUCACAAAAACAUCUCCCAACUUCAUGGUGCUGAUCGCCACCUCCGUGGAGACAUCAGCCGCCAGUGGCAGCCCCGAGGGAGCUGGAAUGACCACAGUUCAGACCAUCACAGGCAGUGAUCCCAGGGAAGCCAUCUUUGACACCC